rnacentral:rRNA from 1 species
UACGUAGGGUGCAAGCGUUAAUCGGAAUUACUGGGCGUAAAGCGUGCGCAGGCGGUUGUGCAAGACAGAUGUGAAAUCCCCGGGCUUAACCUGGGAACUGCAUUUGUGACUGCACGGCUAGAGUGCGGCAGAGGGGGAUGGAAUUCCGCGUGUAGCAGUGAAAUGCGUAGAGAUGCGGAGGAACACCGAUGGCGAAGGCAGCCCCCUGGGCCAACACUGACGCUGAGGCGCGAAAGCUAGGGGAGCAAACAGG